GCAAGUCGAGCGGACAGAAGGGAGCUUGCUCCCGGAUGUUAGCGGCGGACGGGUGAGUAACACGUGGGUAACCUGCCUGUAAGACUGGGAUAACUCCGGGAAACCGGAGCUAAUACCGGAUAGUUCCUUGAACCGCAUGGUUCAAGGAUGAAAGACGGUUUCGGCUGUCACUUACAGAUGGACCCGCGGCGCAUUAGCUAGUUGGUGGGGUAAUGGCUCACCAAGGCGACGAUGCGUAGCCGACCUGAGAGGGUGAUCGGCCACACUGGGACUGAGACACGGCCCAGACUCCUACGGGAGGCAGCAGUAGGGAAUCUUCCGCAAUGGACGAAAGUCUGACGGAGCAACGCCGCGUGAGUGAUGAAGGUUUUCGGAUCGUAAAGCUCUGUUGUUAGGGAAAAACAAGUGCGAGAGUAACUGCUCGCACCUUGACGGUACCUAACCAGAAAGCCACGGCUAACUACGUGCCAGCAGCCGCGGUAAUACGUAGGUGGCAAGCGUUGUCCGGAAUUAUUGGGCGUAAAGGGCUCGCAGGCGGUUUCUUAAGUCUGAUGUGAAAGCCCCCGGCUCAACCGGGGAGGGUCAUUGGAAACUGGGAAACUUGAGUGCAGAAGAGGAGAGUGGAAUUCCACGUGUAGCGGUGAAAUGCGUAGAGAUGUGGAGGAACACCAGUGGCGAAGGCGACUCUCUGGUCUGUAACUGACGCUGAGGAGC
rnacentral:rRNA from 1 species